AGUGAACGUUGGCGGUAGGCCUAACACAUGCAAGUCGAACGGCCGCACAGUAAGAGCUUGCUCUUACGGUUGGCGAGUGGCGGACGGGUGAGGCAUACAUCGGAAUCUACUUUUUCGUGGGGGAUAACGUAGGGAAACUUACGCUAAUACCGCAUACGACCUACGGGUGAAAGCAGGGGAUCUUCGGACCUUGCGCGAUUGAAUGAGCCGAUGUCGGAUUAGCUAGUUGGCGGGGUAAAGGCCCACCAAGGCGACGAUCCGUAGCUGGUCUGAGAGGAUGAUCAGCCACACUGGAACUGAGACACGGUCCAGACUCCUACGGGAGGCAGCAGUGGGGAAUAUUGGACAAUGGGCGCAAGCCUGAUCCAGCCAUACCGCGUGGGUGAAGAAGGCCUUCGGGUUGUAAAGCCCUUUUGUUGGGAAAGAAAAGCAGCAGGUUAAUACCCCGAUGUUCUGACGGUACCCAAAGAAUAAGCACCGGCUAACUUCGUG
rnacentral:rRNA from 1 species